UGCUCGCUUAAGCAGCAAUAUACUAAAAUCGGAACUAUACAGAGAUUAGCAUGGCCCCUGCGCAAAGAUGAUCUGCAAAUUCGUGAAGCAUUCCAUAUUUUU